CUGCACUCUGGGACAAGCCCUGGAAAGUGGGCCUCAUCCCGGAUCCUGAUCUUCGCACGCAUUUUCGAGCUUUGAAAGCUUCCGGCGGUGCAGGAUGAGCCCGCGGCCUUUCAGCUAGUUGGUGAGGUAACGGCUCACCAAGGUGACGACGGGUAGCCGGCCUGAGAGGGCGACCGGCCACACUGGGACUGAGACACGGCCCAGACUCCUACGGGAGGCAGCAGUGGGGAAUAUUGCACAAUGGGCGAAAGCCUGAUGCAGCGACGCCGCGUGAGGGAUGACGGCCUUCGGGUUGUAAACCUCUUUCAGCAGGGAAGAAGCGAAAGUGACGGUACCUGCAGAAGAAGCGCCGGCUAACUACGUGCCAGCAGCCGCGGUAAUACGUAGGGCGCAAGCGUUGUCCGGAAUUAUUGGGCGUAAAGAGCUCGUAGGCGGCUUGUCACGUCGGUUGUGAAAGCCCGGGGCUUAACCCCGGGUCUGCAGUCGAUACGGGCAGGCUAGAGUUCGGUAGGGGAGAUCGGAAUUCCUGGUGUAGCGGUGAAAUGCGCAGAUAUCAGGAGGAACACCGGUGGCGAAGGCGGAUCUCUGGGCCGAUACUGACGCUGAGGAGCGAAAGCGUGGGGAGCGAACAGGAUUAGAUACCCUGGUAGUCCACGCCGUAAACGGUGGGCACUAGGUGUGGGCAACAUUCCACGUUGUCCGUGCCGCAGCUAACGCAUUAAGUGCCCCGCCUGGGGA
rnacentral:rRNA from 1 species